CGUAGGUGGCAAGCGAUACUCGGAAUCACUAGGCGUAAAGCGCAGGUAGGCGGUUUGGUAAGUCUUUUGUGAAAGCUCCCGGCUCAACUGGGAGAGGUCAAGGGAAACUACCGGACUAGAGUGUGGUAGGGGAUACUGGAAUUCCUGGUGUAGCGGUGAAAUGCGUAGAUAUCAGGAGGAAUACCUAUGGCGAAAGCAGGUAUCUGGGCCAUCACUGACGCUGAGCUGCGAAAGCUAGGGGAGCAAACAGGAUUAGAUACCCUGGUAGUCCUAGCCCUAAACGAUGCUCAUUAGAUGUGGGAGGUAUCGACCCCUUCCGCGUCGCAGCUAACGCAUUAAAUGAGCCGCCUGGGGGAGUACGGCCGCAAGGUUG
rnacentral:rRNA from 1 species